rnacentral:rRNA from 1 species
AUUGAACGCUGGCGGCAUGCUUUACACAUGCAAGUCGAACGGUAACAGGCCGCAAGGUGCUGACGAGUGGCGAACGGGUGAGUAAUGCAUCGGAACGUGCCCAGUCGUGGGGGAUAACGCAGCGAAAGCUGCGCUAAUACCGCAUACGAUCUAUGGAUGAAAGCGGGGGACCGUAAGGCCUCGCGCGAUUGGAGCGGCCGAUGUCAGAUUAGGUAGUUGGUGGGGGAAAGGCUCACCAAGCCAACGAUCUGUAGCUGGUCUGAGAGGACGACCAGCCACACUGGGACUGAGACACGGCCCAGACUCCUACGGGAGGCAGCAGUGGGGAAUUUUGGACAAUGGGCGCAAGCCUGAUCCAGCAAUGCCGCGUGCAGGAAGAAGGCCUUCGGGUCGUAAACUGCUUUUGUACGGAACGAAACGGCUCUGGUUAAUACCCUGGGGUCAUGACGGUACCGUAAGAAUAAGCACCGGCUAACUACGUGCCAGCCGCCGCCGUAAGAC